rnacentral:rRNA from 1 species
CACGUAGGGGGCGAGCGUUGUCCGGAAUCAUUGGGCGUAAAGAGCUCGUAGGCGGCUCGGUAAGUCGGGUGUGAAACCCCCAGGCUCAACCUGGGGACGCCACCCGAUACUGCUGUGGCUAGAGUCCAGUAGGGGAGUGUGGAAUUCCCGGUGUAGCGGUGAAAUGCGCAGAUAUCAGGAGGAACACCAGCGGCGAAGGCGGCGCUCUGGGCCGGAACUGACGCUGAGGAGCGAAAACGUGGGUAGCAAACAGG